AAAAUACUCCCUCCGUCCGGAAAUACUUGACAUCAAAAUUGAUAAAAGGAGAUGUAUCUAGACAUAUUUUAGUUCUAGAUACAUUCUUUUUUGUUCAUUUUGAUGACAAGUAUUUUUGGACGGAGGGAGUACUAA
rfam:Triticum urartu cultivar G1812 contig310051, whole genome shotgun sequence.